GUCUGGCCUGCCCACUGAAAAAUUAUUUAAAGGGCCGCGGUAAUUUGACCGUGCGAAGGUAGCAUAAUCAAUAGUCUCUUAAUUGGAGGCUGGAAUGAACGGUCGGACAAAGAGUUAGCUGUCUCUUUAGUGUUCCUCGAAGUUUACCUUUAAGUGAAAAGGCUUAAAUUUCUUUAGGGGACGAUAAGACCCUAUAAAACUUUACAGCUCAAUCUAUACUAUUUGAAAUAAAGUCUAAUAUUAGUCAUGGAUUACCUGUUGUGUUGGGGUGACAAAGAUAUAAUUAGUAACUGUCGGUGACAAAAAAUAAUAAUAAUUAGGUUAGUUGAUCCUUUAUUAAAGAUUACAAGAUCAAGUUACUUUAGGGAUAACAGCGUAAUUCUUUCUGAGAGUUCCUAUCGACGAAAGUAGUUGCGACCUCGAUGUUGAAUUAAGAUUUCUUCCAAAUGUAGCAGUUUGGCUAGUGGGUCUGUUCGACCUU
rnacentral:rRNA from 1 species